rnacentral:lncRNA from 1 species
AAAGGAAGUAGGCCUCUUCUCUCUUCCUCCAGAGUCACCAUGUGAGCCAAGGAAGACAGGACACUUGCCACUAGCGUCCAAUAAGUGUUCAGACUAUGCUCUUGGAAACCAACUGCAUACAGGGUUUCUGACAUCAGACUCACCUAUUGCCAACAUUCUGUCUGUCCCUCUGUCAGCUGAGUGUCUGCAGUGAUGAGAAAGGCACGAUAACUCCAAGGCAAUUCAUCACCUCUGCAACUGAGGGAGAGCUUCUGAGCUCAGUUGUGUCAGAGGAAGCUGCCAAUGCCUCUGUCAGAGCUGGGGAGUGGGGCUGAAGGUGCUGGUCCAUGAAAUCACACAGGAGAAAGGGAGAAGCUGCCAGAAGCAGUAGACCACGGGGUGUAAGUGAAGAAUGAUUGUUGCUGGCAUGGACCACUCAACCCCAAAGGGACCAAGUGAUGCCAUGGGGCUUUCUCUGUGGUCUGUUUACUCCUGAGCAUCCACCCAGCAGAAGCAAUAAUAGUGCUGAGGGCUGGAAGCAAAACAGUUUCCAAUGAAAAGGGUUCACCUAGGCAACAGUCCCUCCUCCCCACCAAAUAGGGAUGGAAAGAUGAGAAGCCGAUGCCAAGGGCUUCUUUUCUGUUUUCCUAUACUGCUCUAGAGGAGAGCAGAUUCUUGAUGAACCAGAGGGACAAGGAUACACUGGACUUCCUAGUGCACUAGUCUACUUCUACUGCCUUCCAGCUGUCUGUGCAAACUGGUGAUGCAUUCUGACGGGGUCUGAAAUCCAUUCCCACAACAAGCAAGCCAAAGUAUGAGCAACAUGAGGCCAAGGCUACUGGAGCCCUUCAGGAGUGACGUUUGGCCCCAUAUGAUCAUGAUCCUGUUAUGCCCUGUUGCAGAAUCCAACAUUGCCUGUCCCAGCAGCACCAAAGGGGAAUCCCAAGGGCUGAAGCUACAUUGGAGAACACACAUUGUUGUUCAUGUAUCUAUCCCUGCUCCAUAAUGCUCAUGGUGGAGAAGAGUGGUAACAAGGCUGCUCAGUCAUUCUGUCAUCACUUCUGUUGCUGUGCUGUUGGCAAGCUAACUAGCUGGCUUUCUGUCUUGUCCUAUUUUAUUUGUGAAGACUGAUUUUAGGGCCUCCAGAACGCUCAUUCCCCCACACUGAUUUUUUUCUUUCUCAAAACAGACCAGUGAAGGCUCAAGAAAGCUAUGUGUCACAGAAGAUGAAAUGCCCCCACCCAGUGUUAGAAGCAGACACUGCUCUAAGUGUUUCAAACAGAGGGUACCAAUAACAAAAGAAGUCUAGAUGGGGCCUUGGAGAAGGAAAGACCAACAAGAAAACCUGUAAGGCAACACAGAUUGACCACAGCGGGAAGUUCUACUACCUUUAGGUGUCUGUGCUUCUACAUGCUGCUGCAUCCGUACAGUAGCUCUGAAAUCACAAGAAUACGAUGACUGUAGAAGGAAGAAACAGAACUCGAGAUGCUUAUAUCCAUCAUUCUACAUGCAUAUCAACCCUGGAUACCUACAAUGAUCACUCAGUAGGAUAAAGUUAACUCACAUAGGCUACUUCUUAAAAACACAUGGUCUUAUCUUACCAGAGUACGCCUGGCAUGUCCUGUUUUUCCAGUCUCAACAUGGCAUCCUUUUGUGGUGCCUCUUUGCCUACCUUUCCCAGAAUUAUCUUCGUCUCCUAACCCCAUCUAUCUUCCUGCCUCUCCUAGAUAUUGGCCAAACAAUGUUUUAUUCAUCAACCAAUAAGAGAAACAUAUAUACAGAAGGACAUCCCCAUCACACAUAGGCUACUUCUUAACAAUUAUAUUCAAAGGAAACUGUGGUUGGUAUGUAAAAUAAAUUCAAAAGUUAAUAAAAAAUAUUUAAAAGGAUAUUCAUAUGAAUUAAAAUAUUCAUCCAAUUUCUUUUCCUUUUCAUAGUAAUAUUUGCUUUUUACUAACAUGGAUGUCCAACAAAUCAAAAUAUUUUCAUAAUCUGUGUCUCAUUUGGGUCAUUUCGGUUUUACUAAUUUGAUUUCAUGAUUAUUACUGGGAGGUUUUGUUAUACAGCAGGAGAAUGUGUUAAAAAGAUCUGCUCUGACUGUCCCAUAGGCUAGAUAUGAGGUAUUUGUAAACAAAUAUUUAAACUGAGGCUGAAAGACGUUAAGAAAUUUGUGUAAGAAUCACUCCAGUAGUAAGUCAUGAGUGAAGUUCUUACACAAUGGUUUCUUGGACUGGCACAGUGGUAAAUGACUCUAAGAGGAGCUAUUCAAGAGGUUCACUUAAGGCCAGGAAUUUGAACCCAGUGUAGGCAACAUAUGGUAGUAUUAUCAUCUCAGUUAGACAGAUGAGGGAAUUGAAGUGCAGAAAGGCCAAAUGACUCACUCAAGCUCCUACAGCUAAUAGAGGGCAGAAGAAAGACUUGAACUUGCACCCUGAUGGUAUUGCUCCACUCACUAAAUGUAUAACCUUCAUGCAGGCUUUCCUCAUCAACUGCAAUCUGCUUUGAAACUGAUGCUUAGUCUGGUGUCAGUUGUAGCUGAGAGACAAAGAUCCUUCUCAGCUGCUCUGUCAGUCCCUCUACAGCCUCUUCCAUCUUGGAGGGAAUCUCCCAGCAGAUGGAAGUCUGGGGAAGAAUACCUCCCCUGCCUUCCUUUUUUAUUUUUAUUUUUUUAAAUAAUGCUUGCUGUGGAACUCGGGUCCUUAGUACAUGCUAAGCAAGAGAGAUGUACCACGGAGCUCCAUCCAAGAAGAGGUCUUUGUCUUUUUGUAGCAAGGUCUCACUAUAUAUGUAGUUCAGGCUAGCCUUGAACUCACACCACUUUAAUAGCAUAUGGCAGGGUGUUGUUCUAAGGACACCAGCUGUGAAGUUGAAUUCAGGAGUACUUGGCUGUUUAUUAGACAUUGAGAAGAGAAAAAUGGGAAGGAAGAUUGGCUUUUAUCGAAUAGUAUCUAUGUUCUUCCAAGUACAGUUAAGUAUUGCACUGGGCUUUGUGAGCUCCAGUAAACUCGAAGGAGCCAGACAGGAAAAGUGCUCAUUGCUUCCGCCACAGGUAAUACUGACCCACAACACUAGAUGGCAAAGUGGCGCUAUGCUACUGUGAUGUAAGCAGGAAAAAAGCCAAGUGUAAGUUUUUUUUGUUUUGGUUUGGAUUUUUUUCGCUUUUUGUUUUUCUUUUCUUUUUUUAAAAAGGUCUCACUCUACCAUUCUGGUUUUCUGGUUUCUUCUUUCCUUUUUAAUUUUUAAGUUUAUUUUAGGAAAAUUAAUGUCUCUGUAAAGUUAAUAUCUUAGUUUUUCAAAUCGUUGUUUAGAAAUGCUCAGGUUCAGGCUCUGUCAAGUAGGUAAAUACAGGGCUCUCUGCCUAAUGGCUGCCUGGUCAAAAGCUACCUCCUAAUUGAUCAGAUAAAAACGGGAGGACAACAGAAGAUAAUGGAGAACUAUGAAAUGUACUUUCAAAAGCUGCAUGUUAACAGAAAUGUGACAUAAAUGUGACAAAUGUAUAUGGCACAGAUGUCAUCUGUCAUGGCCUUUUCUGUUUAAAUAAACUUGGGAGCAAAAAACAAAUUGGACACACUGGUGCUCAUUUCAUUCAUUCAGAAACAAGCGUCUUUUAUUCGCUGGAGGCAGCCCAGAAUUUUUAAAAAGGAAGAGAAAGAGAGUUCUGCUGUGGCAUUUAAGAAAUCUGUGGUGAAGGUGGAGGAAGGACCAAUGUAUCAAUGCUGUCAGCCUUCAGUCCCUCAAUCAUUCUUCCUCUUCAGAUUGUGAUUAGAGCUGCUGGCCCCCACCUCCCUGGAGUUUUCUUCCAGGCAAGCCUUCAGACCACCCAGGGUACUCACCAGAGCAACCAGCACAUCAGCAUGUUAAUACAAGACUGCACAUGUCAGAGGUUCGGGGGCUGACUUUUACUGCUCUUUGAAUUGUCUCCUCAAAUGGAAUUUAGUCUAGUGCUUGCUAUAUCACAGGUGCCCAGUAACUGUUAGGAGAGAGACUGGAUUCAGGCUGUGUAGCCACUGAGGAGAAUUGGUCUACAAGUUUUCAAGUUUUCCUCAGACAACAAUGACAAGAUGAAGUAUUGUUAACAGAGGCAGAGUCAGGAGAGCCUGAUGUUAAGUGUAGACACACCAAUCAAACAUUUACUCAUAAUAAAUCAUAAAGAAAUUUGUUUUUAAAAUUCCUUAGCGUAUAUGUGGUAUAACCAUUUGUUAAAGAUGAAAGCAUUUUUUACUAAUGAGAUGGAUGUGUUUAUUUUUACAUAAAUAAUUAAAUCUUAGCUGAAUAUUUCAUUCCACAGGACAUAGAUCUUUGGGAACUGACCGGUAUUUUGACUUUAUAUUCGUCUGUGUUGAGGACUGCACUUCGAAAGCAGACCUGGAGACCAGAAUGUGAGGGCAAGGAGUAUUGGGGAGGUAAUGCCAAGAAGACUGACAGGGGCGAGAAGAGGAGGAAAGCCAGCAUGGUGUGCAACAUUAAGCAAGUUGACACCAUGGGAAACCUACUCAGUUUCAUUGGGAACAGAGAAGAAUGUACCUUAGAAAUACAUCCUACAAGUAUGUGAAGAUAUUCGACAACUUCCAUCAUUGAGUCUUUGACAUUAUUGACAGAACGAUGUACAGAUUAACCAAAGAAAGUCUAAAGACUUUCACAGAUACUGCAAGAGUGAUUAAUUGAAGGUGAACUGGAUACCUGGCCAUAGAUACAGGUGGAGCUAAACAGCACCUGCUAAAACAAUAUCCCUAUUGCUUUGGAAACAGCCAAGGCUCAGUAUACACCAGAUUUGGCUAUUCUAAUGAGGAUUUCAUCAAAACUCCCAACAGUUUUAUUUACUCUUCUCUUCAUUAUCUUAGUGACCACACUACUUCUUUUCACAACCAUAGCGAGGGUGGCAAUCCAGUGUUUUACAUGAACAUGGACUUCCAUCCAUUAUUCAAUUUUAGCAGCAACAUUUAUUGUCAAAUGAUUCAUGAGAACACUGUGUAACUGGGUCAAAGUACAAUGAACUUGGUGGGGAUGGGAAAGGCACAGACUCUUUCCUGCUGCUAAAGAGGAAAUGGGGAAGGGUCAUCAUCUACAUCAAAGUAUUCCAUUGUUUCAGCUACUAUGGAAUCUGGAAUCAAGGACUUUGAUAUUGUCUAUGUAUCCAGACCACUUGGAACGCUUUCCAGCUGCAGCAUUGGGACCUUAAUAAACGAACCAUAUUAUGUUUAUACUUCACUGUUUAAGUAAUGCUAUUUCACUCUGUGUAAAGCCACUUAAAACACCAGUGGAAACACAUGCAUGGACCAUGAAACAACUUUAAAUGGAUAAUCAAUUUUUAUCACAUAUUGGAGGUUAGACUGGUAUAUCUGAGUGAAUUAUGAAAGUCUGUAUGUGAUUCUAGCUGGGAGUGGUUGCAUACCAAAUCUUUGUCUUUGCUACAAAUUGGUCUGUAGUGAGAUAAUUGGGAGAUUCCAAAUCUAACACUUUGUUCUUUAAAAACACAAUAUAUUUUAUUUGGACAUACAUGUGAAGGAUUUUAUUAGGCUUACUAGGACAACCUUAAUUCUUUAGUAUAGCAAUUCUCUCCUAAGAUGGAAGAUAUGUGAUUGACAUAUUUCUAAGGCACUGAAAAGUUAUGAGCAGCAUGAUCAUGAGCUAAACUGUAUGGGGCAUUCUAAAACAUAUGAGACAUGGUUUUAGAAAAAAAAAAGAACAUGAGCAAUGGUGGUACAUGCCUUUAAUCCCAGCACUCAGGAGGCAGAGAGAGGUGAAUCUCUGCAAGUUUGCAGCCAGCCUAGUCUACACAGUAGUGAAUUUCAAGACAGUCAGAGUUACCUAGUAAGACCCUGUCUCAAAAACAAAACAAAAAAAUGAAAAGAAAAAACCACGAGAAACCUGUUUUUGAAACGACUAGUAAGCAUGUGAAACUCAUUAUACCUGAGCACGAUGAAAAGGUGAAUGGAGUCAAGGUAAAUUUGAACCAAUUACUGCAUAACAGAACCUAAAAGUUCAAGGAGAAAUUAGGCAAGUUCAAGUUAAUAUUCAUUAACUAUGGAGGAGUAUUUCAUGGAUGCAAAUUGCCUCAUUCUUACAAAACACUGGCAUCACCUUGGAAGAUAGCAGAGCUUCUUGGGCCACUGACUUGACACAAUAAGUUUUCUUCCAUUAACCAGGGGAUAUUGAAAAUGCCAGAUUACCUUAAAGCCCUGAACUACCAAGAAGCUACCAGCUCUUUCAUCUUCUAUCUUUAAAACAUUUGUUGUCCCCAAAGUGAAUGAUGAAGUGGAGAAGGAACCUUGAAACUGUUACCAUUCCUAUGCUACACACACACAGCACAGUCCCCCCUUUCUCUUUCACACACACACACACACACACACACACACACACACACACACACACACACACACACACUUGUGAACUAGCAGUUCCUAAAACACCUUCCAAAAUCAAUAUUAUGCUCUGUUUAUGAGGACCCAGAAUAGUAGAGCUCUAGACCAAACUCGAUUGUUUAAUAAAAUGUCACAUCCAAACACUGAUUCACUGAGUCAGCCUUUUUUCCCUGACUCUAAGACAAACACUAGGUUCAGGAUUAUCAAUCCAACCAACAACUUCUAUUAUCAUUUGGUUUUGUCUUCUAAAACUCAAAAUCCAGUGAAUUUUUACUGAGUGACAGUUCAAGUCAGACUAUUCCAAUCAAAUUCCCUCCAUUCUAUUUACUAUUUGGCCGUUUGACACUUUCAUAGAGAACCAUGGAUGCAGCACAUGUUCCUAAAACUUAAGCCUGUACAUCAUGACACAUUUAAAUCAAGAGUUCUGAUGCUAUAAAAUAUGACUUUGUGAAUGUGAUCAUUUUAUUCUAUAUUUAUCGAUUUCAUUAAAUCAUGGAUUUUUAAAGUGACAGUCUGACCUGUAACAAAUGGUUAGACAUAUCACAUAUAUUAAUGUUCAACCACUCAUGAGAAAGAACACCCUAACUUUGUUGUAGGACUUCAUUCACACAGACUUUUUCUAACCUCCGAUAUUUUUCCAUAUGUUCAUAAUCCUUUUAGACCCUAUUUCUAUAACUUCUGCCCUCUCCUUUGUGGUUAGCAAUUAAAACCAGCAAACAAUUAGCAUUGUAAAGUCUUUUACGUUCUUGCAUCAGUUCUUACAUUCUCACUCUAAUCUACUAAGAUGGCUCAGUGGCAAACAAUAACACAUGAAUAAAUUCAUUCUUUUGUUCAAAAUCACUAAUUAUCUAAAUGUCUUAUGGUACAGGGAUAGUUGAAGAAAGGUUACAAAUAUUUUAAGCUAUAAUUAGACUGGGAAGCAAAACAUAUAGCACAAUCAUAAAAUUGUAAAAUAUAAUACUAAUAAGAAAAAUAGCAUAAUUUGCACACACAAAUGUAGUAAGGGCACAGAUGAAAUUUCUGUUUCAAGUAAGAAAAAUAAUUUAUAUAUCAUAGUAAUUAGUCCAAUAAAAACAUAUAUUGUAGAUAUAUAUCUAAAUAUGUAGGAAUAUGCACAUACAUGUGUUUAGACAUUCCUAUUUCAGAUUUCAUUAGUAAUCCAGUAUUUUUCUAGUUGUGGUAUCCACUGUCAUUUUAAUUUUUUAAUUCCCUAGUUGGAGUCUGAUAAUAAUAUCCCACGGUAUUAAAAAGUUAUAAAUUAUCAAGAAAUAAAAGAAAAUCCUCCCAAUUAGGGAAAUACCUAAAUGAUCUUUGUCUUUGCCUAAUAUAUAUUAGCAUAAGUAUGAGGCUAAUAUUAUAUAUUAACAUGUGUUUUAUUAUGAUUUUAUAUAUUAUAUAAACCUCAUAUGUAACAGCAGACCAAAACUAAAAAUGCAAAAUUACAGUGUUCUGACCUAAUGUUCUUCAGUCCCAAGUAUCCAAAUCUUGACACACUUAUAACAUUCAUUUGACGAAUAAUAGUAUUUUAGUACACUUGGUAAUGCACAUGUUUUUUAUCUACCAUAAAGAGCUGUGUUUCUUCAAUUGAUUUAUAUACCACCUGGACAAAAUUAUUUUUUAUUAUGGUUUAUUUCAUUUUUCCAGCAUCCUCAACUUUAAAAUACUUGUAAACUGCCAAUGGAACAGUGACAAUGAUGAACAAAGAAUAGCCUUGGUGUUCAAUAUCCAAAGUCCACACUUCUUAAGAGAACUUCCAGUGAUUAAUGCUUUCAAACUAGCAGGGUCAGGUUAAAAAUCAAGCAACAAUCUGUCUUGUACUUCAUCAUACAAAAAAUUCACAGACUGGUUUAAAGUUUCCCCAAAGAGGUAACCAUUUGGGUCUAGAGUUUGCAUAAGGGACUUAUAAAGGAACUUGCCAAACAAUAGAAAAAUGAUCAUUACAUAGUAAUGAGGGGUGUUAAUGAUAUUUUCUAAUCAUAUGACCUCAUUUCCUGAAUUAUACUAUGUCUACAUCCUGAACAAAAAGACACAGAGAGUAUUCUACUCUUUCUAAUUUAAAAAUACUUCUUUAUCAAUUGAAAUGAUAUUCUUCACAUAUCACUCUGUGGAAUAUUGUUUUGAUGACUUCUACUGAAUUUUCUCAGUACUUUUUUGACAUGAAAUUGCAUCAUGUUAAAGCCAACAAUUCACUGAAUGUUUGGGAAACAUCACAAAUGUUUGAGGCUAUGUGCCUAAUGAAUGUAACAUGGACUCAUUUUAUCCCCCUUUAUUGGAAUUGCUUUGAAUUUUAAACAGUUGUUAGCCAUUAACUACACUUUAUACCUAAUUCCGCAUAUGUGUAUAUGUGUUUUAGAUUCCAUGUGUAAAAUUAACUUAUUUGGGAUCAUAUGCAUUUACUGAUUAUUUUUGCAUGGCAACUACUAUUGUUGACUUCCUCAAGAUAGAACAGUUAGUUCUGACCUAAAUGAAACAGAUUAAUUAAACUUCGUAUUCAAAGAUACCUUUGGUGGCUUUCCAAAUCACUCAAGCAAACUUUUGGAGAAUCUUCUCUAAUGAAUCCAUUUCUUUUCCCCUGAUUAGCUUUAAGUCCCACCUAGUCUAACAUUUACAUUGUCAUGAUCUCUUCUUCAAAAUCUGGUAGUAUUAGUUUUUUUAACAAAUUCUGUAAAGUCAACCAAAAUAAGCAUGCUAAUGACAAAUAUAAGUCAUAACAUGCUUCCUCAAACAUGCAUAUGAGCACACACACAAGAUAGGUAUUUCUUGACUCAAAAACAACAAACCUAUGAGUGUCCUUAUGGUCCCAGCUGAUAUCAGGGAAUAACUUGAGAGGCUGCAAGUCUUAAGUCUUACUUGUGAUGCCAUAAGAGUUUUUGUCAAACUUCCAGUGUCCUUUUAACUCAGAUUGAUUCAUAGUCUUUGAAAAGAGGGGGAAGGGUCAGGUGUUUUAAAUUCCACAAACUGACAUUCCCAUUAAUAAGGUGUAGAUUUACAGAAAAAUUUACAAAGAAACUACAUGUAUAUCUCCCAUACAUCAGUCUACAUGUUCAGAGUCAUGACAUUAAAUUACUCUCUUUAGUGUUUAGGAUAAGGUACAGUGUUUUAAACUGCAUUGCAAAUUAUCCAGUAGAUUAUAAAGCCUUCCAGACAUGUACCACAAAAGUGAAUCAAGUCUCAAUCCCAGAAACAGUAACCGUAUUACCUAUAGCACAAAGUAUGUAUAGCACAUGUAGAAAUGUUUAUCUGGAUAAUCUAAUUAAUUGCUAGAAGCCAGUUCUCAGAAUAUCACCAGCUGGAUCAUGAAAUUGUGCUUGGUGGGUUGCAGUACUUCUCAAGAUACUCAUAACAAAUAGAAGCCCAUUCUCUGUGGACAAGCCUUGGCAAAUAUGCUUUGGAUUUCAAACAGCCAAAAGAAUAGUUCUUAUUCUUCCACUGAACAGUGAAUUUUCUCUACAUUUACAAAGAAUCUCCUACACUUAAAGCUGUGUAGUUUAUGGGGGAAGAGGACAACACACAGCAACCAAGGAGAACACAAAAUCAGAAAGGCCCAAAUGGAAAUGAGAAUUCAGACGCAGCAGAGACAUUGUUUGGCCCAAGAGCUCACGGAUGACUCUGUAAAAAAUUUUUCAGUUUGCUUAUACCUUAAAUGAUGGGUGUGAAUACCUUGGGAGUAGGGAAUGGGCGUUUGGGAACAAAAGUAACAAUACAAGUACAAAAUUAUUGAAUAAUACAGUAUUAUUGGAGCAUGGCAUACAUGAUGGAGCCAGAAAGGAUCACAUAGCUGAGAGCCUACAUAAGGAUCUCAAGAUCAUAGGUUGGAGAAGCAAGUGAGCAAUGGCGACAUAUAAGGUUUUUAUUAUUGUUUUUAAUCUAUUUUAUUAUGGUGAAAUAUAACAGAAAUUCAGGAAAUUACAUCAAUCAUGUUCAGCUAAGGGAAUUAUCAUAAAUGCAUUUAGAAAUAGGAAUAUUACUGGGAAGCCCCCUCCUCAUGUGCCCUCCCAUCCCAGUGUUAUAAUCUCAAAGGUCACCACUAGACUGAUCUUUGUGAUAAUGAAGCAUGAAUUUCUCAAACAUCAUUUAGUUUUGUUGCUUUAUGAAUUUUGUGGAAGUGCAAUUGUGUAUUAUGAAUUAUCUUGUGCCUGGAUUCUUACAAUGUUGUUUUGUGAGCGUUCCCCGUGUUGUUGUGGAAGCUGUACUUCACCUAUUUUCAUUGCUAUGGAGUGUUCCUUUACACAAAUAAACCAUAUUGAUCCA